AACGAACGCUGGCGGCAUGCCUAACACAUGCAAGUCGAACGAGACCUUCGGGUCUAGUGGCGCACGUGUGGGUAACGCGUGGUAACCUGCCCUUAGGUUCGGAAUAACUCCCCGAAAGGGGUGCUAAUACCGGAUAAUGUCUUCGGACCAAAGAUUUAUCGCCUUUGGAUGGGCCCGCGUUGGAUUCGCUAGUUGGUAGGGUAAAAGCCUACCAAGGCGACGAUCCAUAGCUGGUAUGAGAGGAUGAUAAGCCACAAUGGGACUGAGACACGGCCCAGACUCCUACGGGAGGCAGCAGUGGGGAAUAUUGGACAAUGGGCGAAAGCCUGAUCCAGCAAUGCCGCGUGAGUGAUGAAGGCCUUAGGGUUGUAAAGCUCUUUUACACGGGAUGAUAAUGACAGUACCGGGAGAAUAAGCUCCGGCUAACUCCGUG
rnacentral:rRNA from 1 species